GAUGAACGCUAGCGGCAGGCUUAAUACAUGCAAGUCGAGGGGCAGCGCAGUGUAGCAAUACAUGGGCGGCGACCGGCAAACGGGUGCGGAACACGUACACAACCUUCCUACAAGUGGAGAAUAGCCCAGAGAAAUUUGGAUUAAUACCCCGUAACAUAGCGAUGUGGCAUCACAUUGCUAUUAUAGCUUCGGCGCUUGUUGAUGGGUGUGCGGCUGAUUAGAUAGUUGGCGGGGUAACGGCCCACCAAGUCUACGAUCAGUAGCUGAUGUGAGAGCAUGAUCAGCCACACGGGCACUGAGACACGGGCCCGACUCCUACGGGAGGCGGCAGUAAGGAAUAUUGGACAAUGGACGCAAGUCUGAUCCAGCCAUGCCGCGUGAAGGAUUAAGGUCCUCUGGAUUGUAAACUUCUUUUAUAAGGGACGAAAAAAGGUCUUUCUAGAUCGUCUGACGGUACCUUAUGAAUAAGCACCGGCUAACUCCGUGCCAGCCGCCGCGGUAACAC
rnacentral:rRNA from 1 species